rnacentral:lncRNA from 1 species
GAAAGCAGGACCACCGGUCAUUUACACAGCUUGUCCAUUGGCAAGUGCUGCUGAGCCUAGGCAAAUCAUCCAUGGAUUGAGGGUAUCUGGGAUUUCCUCUGCUUGCACUCACUCCGUCGUCUUGCCUUGUGAAGAAGGUUCCUGCUUCUUCUUUGCCUUCCAUGACUCUGCAAGGUCACAAGACAGAUAAGCAUAAGCUGCAAACCGAGUUCUCACAGAGAUGUAAGACAUGUAGCAGAAGUGUCACAGCAGCCUUUUGUUCUCGCUUCUGUAAGCCUGCUUCAUGUAGUUCCCACCUCAAAAUGCUUAAAAAGGACUCAUUUUGUUUGUUCUGGGCUCAGCCUGUAGGACACAUGUCUGCUGGGCCAGGGUACACCUUAAAAUAAACACCCUUCUGCACUGUCUCUCUGCUUCCUUAAAUCUCG